CCAGAUUAGCUCAUCAAAAUAGCAGACCCGAAAUCUAAUUCAAACUCCGGGGAUGGAGGGAACAAAGGAGAAUAAAGGAAAUAAUAGAAGGGCCCUUAAUCAAAAUUCAGCUAAUAUACUCACUGGAUUAGCCGAUGGUCCAUCUCGCACCAAAACAAGACCGACACAAGUUUCUCCCCUCCAUCUACUUUUGGUUAGUCGACUUUGGUUUAGUGUACUUUUGGUUAGUCAACUCUUGAGCAACCUACGAGCUGCUGAUUCCAAUCACAUCAGAUGAGAAAGUCACACCGUAGAUACUUUUUUCCAGAUCUCUUACAUGACGCUCUUCCGAAUUAUUUCCUCUUUGCUAGCUCAAAUACAACCAACACGAAGAUAUGUUAAACUUCAAUUUAAAAUUUAUAAAUAAAAACACUGUAAGUUAUACUUCACCGGUUUCUAU